rnacentral:piRNA from 1 species
UGCGAAUUGCUUAUUUCCUGA